rnacentral:rRNA from 1 species
UACUGAGGGGACUAGCGUUGUUCGGAAUUACUGGGCGUAAAGCGCACGUAGGCGGAUUUGUAAGUCAGGGGUGAAAUCCCGAGGCUCAACCUCGGAACUGCCUUUGAUACUGCAAAUCUCGAGUCCGGAAGAGGUGAGUGGAAUUCCUAGUGUAGAGGUGAAAUUCGUAGAUAUUAGGAAGAACACCAGUGGCGAAGGCGGCUCACUGGUCCGGUACUGACGCUGAGGUGCGAAAGCGUGGGGAGCAAACAGG